rnacentral:rRNA from 1 species
AACGAGCGCAACCCUUGUCCUUAGUUACCAGCACGUUAUGGUGGGCACUCUAAGGAGACUGCCGGUGACAAACCGGAGGAAGGUGGGGAUGACGUCAAGUCAUCAUGGCCCUUACGGCCUGGGCUACACACGUGCUACAAUGGUCGGUACAAAGGGUUGCCAAGCCGCGAGGUGGAGCUAAUCCCAUAAAACCGACUCGUAGUCCGGAUCGCAGUCUGCAACUCGACUGCGUGAAGUCGGAAUCGCUAGUAAUCGUGAAUCAGAAUGUCACGGUGAAUACGUUCCCGGGCCUU